rnacentral:rRNA from 1 species
AGCGGUAAUACAGAGACCUCAAGCGUUAUCCGGAAUUAUUGGGCGUAAAGCGUGCCGACAGGUGGUUUUGUUAGCCAGUGGUGAAAUCUCCGAGCUCAACUCGGAAUCUGUCCAUUGGAACUGCAAAACUAGAGGGGCAAAGAGGAAGUUAGAACGAACGGUGUAGUAGUGAAAUGCGUUGAUAUCGUUCGGAAUACCAAUAGCGAAGGCAGACUUCUGGGUGCCACCUGACACUGCUAGGACGAAAGCGUGGGGAGCGAAUGGGAUUAGAUACCCCAGUAGUCCACGCUGUAAACGAUGUACAUUCGCUGCUAGGGAGUAUCGACCCUUCUUAGUAGCUAAGCUAACGCGUUAAAUGUACCGCCUGGGGAGUACGGUCGCAAGACUAAAACUCAAAGGAAUUGACGGGGACCCGCACAAGCGGUGGAGCAUGUGGUUUAAUUCGACGAUAAGCGAGGAACCUUACCAAGGCUUGACAUGUAGCUGCAUCUCUCAGAAAUGAGAGCGCCUUCGAGGGUGCUACACAGGUGCUGCACGGUUGUCGUCAGCUCGUGCCGUGAGGUGUUCACUUAAGUGUGAUAACGAGCGCAACCCCUAUUACCAGUUACAAGUGUCUGGUGAAACUGCCGGCGUUUAAGCCGGAGGAAGGUGGGGAUGACGUCAAAUCAGCGUGGCUCUUACGCCUUGGGCGACACACGUGCUACAAUGGGAUGUUACAAAAGGACGCCAAGGAGCAAUCCGGAGCAAAUCCUCUAAACCAUCCCCCAGUUCGGAUUGAGGGCUGCAACUCGCCCUCAUGAAGCCGGAAUCGCUAGUAACCGUAGAUCAGCCUCGCUACGGUGAAUACGUUCUCGGGUCUUGUACACACCGCCCGUCAAGCCAUGGAAGUGGGUAGCGGAUGAAGCGUCCAUUUAGUUGGGCUCCAAUCCGAGACUCGUAACUGGGGCUAAGUCGUAACAAGGCAUCGGUAGCGGAAGCUGUCGAUG